rnacentral:lncRNA from 1 species
CUAUCUUGUUACUCUUCCUAAUGGAUAUAAAGUGAAAGUGACAUGCAUAGGAUCUUUUGCAUUAACUCCAUCCAUCACCCUUCACAAUGUCUUGUUAGUUCCUUCUUUUAAACACAACUUGAUUUCUGCCCACAAGUUAGUGAAACAGUUGCAUUGCAUAGUUUUGUUCACUGCAACUUCCUACUUCCUCCACAUGAUACAUGACCCUUCCUUGAGGAAGCCUCUGGAUCUUGGUAAAGAGGAGGCUGGUCUAUACAAGCUUUCUUGGGUUCCAGCUUCCCGUUCUUCCUCUACUGGUUGUUCAUCUACUUUUGUAUACUCUAUGUCUGACUCUUGUAAUCAUGACAAUCCUUCCUCUACUGGUUGCCAUAAAGUUGUUGCUUUACCUUCCAAUGUAAAUAGUUCCAUCUGUAAUAAUGUUGUUACAACUGACAUUGCUCAUACUUCAUUUGCAAACAUGAAACACAUUUCUGGAUUGUCUUUUCCAUUUGCUUCUAAGCAGCCUUUCCCUUGUUCUAUUUGUCCUAUGGCUAAACAGACUAGACUUCCCUUUCCUGAUAGCACAAUAAGUACUUCUAGACCUUUCCAAUUGAUUCAUGUGGAUACUUGGGGCCCCUAUCACACUCCUACUUCCAAGCAUCCUUUCCCUUGUUCUAUCUGUCCUAUGGCUAAACAGACUAGACUUCCCUUUCCUGGUAGCACAAUAAGUACUUCUAGACCUUUCCAAUUGAUUCAUGUGGACACUUGGGGCCCCUAUCGCACUCCUACUUCUUCUGGUUCUAGAUAUUUUCUUAAAAUAGUUGAUGAUUUCUCUAGGGCCACCUGGACACACUUACUGGGGUCUAAAAGCAAUGCUUUCUUCCUGCUUAAAUCAUUUCUGUGUAUGGUCAAAAACCAGUUUAAUGCUGUGGUUCAAACUGUUAGAAUUGACAAUGCUUUAGAAUUGGGGUCUAGCAUUGAUGGUGCAUCUUUCUUUAGUAACCAAGGGAUUAUUCAUCAAACAACCUGUCCUCAUACUCCUCAACAAAAUGGUGUUGUUGAAAGGAAACAUAGGACUCUUCUUGAGACAUGUAGAGCUUUUCUCUUUCAAU